CCUACGGGAGGCAGCAGUGAGGAAUAUUGGUCAAUGGACGAGAGUCUGAACCAGCCAAGUAGCGUGAAGGAUGACUGCCCUAUGGGCUGUAAACUUCUUUUAUAUGGGAAUAAAAUGUUCCACGUUGGGGAUUUUGUAUGUACCAUAUGAAUAAGGAUCGGCUAACUCCGUGCCAGCAGCCGCGGUAAUACGGAGGUUCCGAGCGUUAUCCGGAUUUUUUGGGUUUAAAGGGAGCGUAGGUGGAUUGUUAAGUCAGUUGUGAAAGUUUGCGGCUCAACCGUAAAAUUGCAUUUGUAACUGGCAGUCUUGAGUACAGUAGAGGUGGGCGGAAUGCGUGGUGUAGCGGUGAAAUGCUUAGAUAUCACGAAGAACUCCGAUUGCGAAGGCAGCUCACUGGACUGCAACUGACACUGAGGCUCGAAAGUGUGGGUAUCAAACAGGAUUAGAUACCCUUGUAGUC
rnacentral:rRNA from 1 species